rnacentral:rRNA from 1 species
UACGAAGGGGGCUAGCGUUGUUCGGAAUUACUGGGCGUAAAGCGCGCGCAGGUGGUUUCUUAAGUCUGAUGUGAAAGCCCACGGCUCAACCGUGGAGGGUCAUUGGAAACUGGGGAACUUGAGUGCAGGAGAGAAGAGUGGAAUUCCACGUGUAGCGGUGAAAUGCGUAGAGAUGUGGAGGAACACCAGUGGCGAAGGCGACUCUUUGGCCUGUAACUGACGCUGAGGAGCGAAAGCGUGGGGAGCGAACAGG